GAUGAACGCUGGCGGCGUGCUUAACACAUGCAAGUCGAACGGUGAAGCAGAGCUUGCUCUGUGGAUCAGUGGCGAACGGGUGAGUAACACGUGAGCAAUCUGCCCCUGACUCUGGGAUAAGCGCUGGAAACGGCGUCUAAUACCGGAUACGAGCUGCGAAGGCAUCUUCAGCAGCUGGAAAGAUUUUCGGUCAGGGAUGAGCUCGCGGCCUAUCAGCUUGUUGGUGAGGUAACGGCUCACCAAGGCGUCGACGGGUAGCCGGCCUGAGAGGGUGACCGGCCACACUGGGACUGAGACACGGCCCAGACUCCUACGGGAGGCAGCAGUGGGGAAUAUUGGACAAUGGGCGAAAGCCUGAUCCAGCAACGCCGCGUGAGGGAUGACGGCCUUCGGGUUGUAAACCUCUUUCAGCGGGGACGAAGCGCAAGUGACGGUACCCGCAGAAGAAGCACCGGCCAACUACGUGCCAGCCGCCGCUGUAACAC
rnacentral:rRNA from 1 species